GACGAACGCUGGCGGCGUGCUUAACACAUGCAAGUCGAACGGAAAGGCCCUGCUUUUGUGGGGUGCUCGAGUGGCGAACGGGUGAGUAACACGUGAGUAACCUGCCCUUGACUUUGGGAUAACUUCAGGAAACUGGGGCUAAUACCGGAUAGGAGCUCCUGCUGCAUGGUGGGGGUUGGAAAGUUUCUGCGGUUGGGGAUGGACUCGCGGCUUAUCAGCUUGUUGGUGGGGUAGUGGCUUACCAAGGCUUUGACGGGUAGCCGGCCUGAGAGGGUGACCGGCCACAUUGGGACUGAGAUACGGCCCAGACUCCUACGGGAGGCAGCAGUGGGGAAUAUUGCACAAUGGGCGGAAGCCUGAUGCAGCAACGCCGCGUGCGGGAUGACGGCCUUCGGGUUGUAAACCGCUUUCGCCUGUGACGAAGCGUGAGUGACGGUAAUGGGUAAAGAAGCACCGGCUAACUACG
rnacentral:rRNA from 1 species